AAAGGGGUGGAGUAAUAGGUAACUCAUUAGGCUCAUGAUCUAAAGUUAAAGGUUCAAGUCCUUUCCCC
rnacentral:tRNA from 1 species